rnacentral:rRNA from 1 species
AUGGUUCGAGAAUGGUGGAUUAAAAAUGCGAUUGAGAGUGGAGAUCAGAGAAAGGCUAUCGCCUCCUUGUUCAUGCUUAUGUCUUGGGAGAUUUGGAAAGAGCGUAAUGCAAGGGUUUUUUGUAACACCGCUGCUACGACGAUGAUGCUCGUCGCGAAGAUAAAAGAGGAGGCCCAUCUUUGGGCUAUUGCCGGUGCCACUCACUUGAGUAUUGUAAUGCCGCGAGAGUAG